rnacentral:misc_RNA from 1 species
GAUGAAGAACGUAGCGAAAUGCGAUAAGUAAUGUGAAUUGCAGAAUUCAGUGAAUCAUCGAAUCUUUGAACGCACAUUGCGCCCGCCAGCAUUCUGGCGGGCAUGCCUGUCCGAGCGUCAUUUCAACCCUCAGGGUCCCUCCGCCUCGCGCGGUCGGAGCCUGGUGUUGGGGAUCGACCCGCCCCGCGCGGCGCCGUCCCCCAAAUACAGUGGCGGUCCCGCCGCAGCCUCCCCUGCGCAGUAGUUAUCAACUCGCACUGGAGCGCGGCGCGGCCACGCCGUAAAACCCCCCAAAUUUUCAAGGUUGACCUCGGAUCAGGUAGGAAUACCCGCUGAACUUAAGCAUAUCAAUAAGCGGAGGA